rnacentral:rRNA from 1 species
ACGAAGGGGGCUAGCGUUGCUCGGAAUCACUGGGCGUAAAGGGUGCGUAGGCGGGUCUUUAAGUCAGGGGUGAGAUCCUGGAGCUCAACUCCAGAACUGCCUUUGAUACUGGAGAGCUUGAGUCCGGGAGAGGUGAGUGGAACUCCGAGUGUAGAGGUGAAAUUCGUAGAUAUUCGGAAGAACACCGGUGGCGAAGGCGGCUCACUGGCCCGGUACUGACGCUGAUG